GGGGGCGUGGUGUAGUGGUCAGCAUCGGUGUCUUUCAAGCACCAGGCGCGAGUUCAAUUCUCGCCGUCCCUGCCA
rnacentral:tRNA from 1 species